rnacentral:lncRNA from 1 species
AGUGGGGCAGAGGAUAAGCAGGCUGGAAGAGCCGACUCCUACGGCUGCGAUCCAAGAGGUGCCUGCAACAGUUGCCCCCCGACUUCUGUCGCCCCCAUGGAGGCAAACAAGUCUGGAACAGGGAAUGGGGGUCUGGGAGAGAAGAUGAAAAGACUGAGGAUCAGAGAGGUGAGCAGUAGCUUUCCCAAAGGCCCAGAGCCAAGAAGCGUUGAAGCUUAAAAGCACGCCGCGGCAGGGAAGAUCAAGCAAGCCCUGCGCCUAUCUGCAGCUUGAUCUCUCUGUACUGAGCCAUGGAGCUCCUUCUUGGAGGCGUGAAAUGCUCCCCAUCCUUCAGGAGACAACAGCAACAGCCAGCCACUCCUUGUCCAGUCAGCAAUGCUGGAAUACCUCUGCAGCUCACAGUCCAACGCCCACAGCCUUCGAGUCAGUUUCUUGAUAUUCGGCAAUGCACUGGACUCCUGAUCCCAUCAGCUCCUGGCUGAAGGUGGGCCAACCCUUCCCCAUUUCCUUCAAUUCAAACAUUUCCUCAUGUCCCUCAGUGCCAAGCCCUGUGCUGGGAGCUGAGGACCCAGAGGUGAGCUAGAUCUAAAAUCUGACCUCAAGGAGCUAACAGUCUGAGAGGAAGACUGGAGUGGAUAAAAAUACCUUGGUAAUUUAUCACUUAAUAAAUAUCCAAUAAAUGCUAUUAUGUGCCAA